rnacentral:rRNA from 1 species
GAUGAACGCUGGCGGCGUGCCUAAUACAUGCAAGUCGAGCGAACAGACGAGAGUGCUUGCACUCUCUGACGUUAGCGGCGGACGGGUGAGUAACACGUGGGUAACCUACCUAUAAGACUGGGAUAACUUCGGGAAACCGGAGCUAAUACCGGAUAAUAUUUAGCUUCGCAUGAAGCAAUAGUGAAAGACGGUUCUGCUGUCACUUAUAGAUGGACCCGCGGUGUAUUAGCUAGUUGGUGAGGUAACGGCUCACCAAGGCAACGAUACAUAGCCGACCUGAGGGGGUGAUCGGCCACACAGGUACUGAGACACGGCCCAGACUCCUACGGGAGGCAGCAGUAGGGAAUCUUCCGCAAUGGACGAAAGUCUGACGGAGCAAUGCCGCGUGAGUGAAGAAGGUUUUCGGAUCGUAAAACUCUGUUGUAAGGGAAGAACAAGUACGUUAGUAACUGAACGUACCUUGACGGUACCUUACCAGAAAGCCACGGCUAACUACGU